rnacentral:lncRNA from 1 species
UGUCCCUUGUGGCUUCGCAGAGCCUGCAGGGCUCAGAGAGUUGUCACAAAAGGAGGGCCUUCAGAGUCUGACAUGGCGAUUUCUCCACCAUUUCCGCCAUUUUUCUUUUUUUCUUUUUUUUUCCGCUCCGCCUUGCCCCCCGCCUCUCUCUCUCUCUCUCUCUCUCUCUCUCUCCCCGCCGGGAUCCGCACUCUCUCCUCCAUCCCGCCGAGAUCUGCGGCGCGAUCUUCGCCUGCGGGGAUCUGGUGAGGAUCUUCUUCCCCUCCUCCCCCUCCCCAUCGCGCAAUAGAUCGGAGGAGCUCGCGAGCCCUCGGGCCCUGUUUGAUGAAAUGCCGAGCCGAUCGCAGGGCGCUCCGCGGGCAUCGGAGAGCUUAAAACAUAAUUGUAACCUGUAUAUUUGCAAGCAAUAUGUUGCAUAUGUAUGUUUUUUUUAGCGCUAGAUGGAAUUAGUAUUGCUCAAGAGAUGACAAACUACUUGAUUAUCCGAAAACCAUACUAUGUUUUUUUUAGCGCUAGAUGGAUAAUCACGUAGUAUGGUUCUGGGAUAAUCACAUAGUAUUUUUUCGGAUAAUAUUGCUCCAGUUUUUGCAUCCUUAGAUCCUUUUGCCUACAAUAAAUCCUACUGUAACUUGCAUUAAUGCUUAUUUACUAUGCAGUAAAUAUACAUCAAUGGGUAUAUUUAAUGGAUACAUCAAUGGGUUUUUACUACGCUCUGAAAAGAAUUUACACUUACAUCAAUGGGUAUAUUUAAUGGAUACAUCAAUG